rnacentral:rRNA from 1 species
AUUGAACGCUGGCGGCAGGCCUAACACAUGCAAGUCGAGCGGGGUUUUCGGACCUAGCGGCGGACGGGUGAGUAAUGCGUAGGAAGCUACCCGAUAGAGGGGGAUACCAGUUGGAAACGACUGUUAAUACCGCAUAAUGUCUACGGACCAAAGUGUGGGACCUUCGGGCCACAUGCUAUCGGAUGCGCCUACGUGGGAUUAGCUAGUUGGUGGGGUAAUGGCUCACCAAGGCGACGAUCCCUAGCUGGUUUGAGAGGAUGAUCAGCCACACUGGAACCGAGACACGGUCCAGACUCCUACGGGAGGCAGCAGUGGGGAAUAUUGGACAAUGGGCGAAAGCCUGAUCCAGCCAUGCUGCGUGUGUGAAGAAGGCCUUCGGGUUGUAAAGCACCUUCAGUAGGGAGGAAGGGUUAAGUGUUAAUAGUACUUAACUUCGACGUUACCUACAGAAGAAGCACCGGCUAACUCUGUGCCAGCCGCCGCAGUAAAAC